CACGUGCAUGUAGCUGGGUAAAAAAAUGCAUGGAGAAAAUAAUGUUAGGUAGUCUCUUGCCUGUAUCUAAACUUCAGAGGUGUUGACUCAAGUCGCCCUUUUACUUUCUGUUCAAUCAGAAUAAAAAUUAAACCUCUCCUGCUCUUUCUGGAAAUAUAGAUAUAUAUAGCCACACACAAUUAAUAUUCGUGUAACUGUGGGGUGGAAAUAAGUAGCAGAGGAUAAAGCAGUGGGGAGAGAGGGAGAGAGAGAGAGAGAGAACUCCAUGGUGUUUUCAGCCCUGAAGAAGCAAGUUUCACUUGGAUCUGCUUUAGUGGGUUCCCAGGUUUCCCUUCCAUCCCCCUUUUGACCUUCAACACCACCAAUUUGUUUCCAUAAGUUGUACCAAAGUUCGAGCAGCUGUCUGUGGCUGCUGAGAAAGCAGAAACUUUAUAUACGGGGAUAAGAACAAUAGGCCACAAUAGGAAGCUCCUUUUAAGAGCAGAAAGAGAGGAACUGAUUAUUAUUUAUGAAAACAAAACUCAUCAAACAGGCUACCAUUGGUAGUUGAUGUGUCUUCUUCCAGCAGAAGAGUGCCUUUUUCCAUACUUCCAAUUCAAAAUGUUGCUGUGACUGUACCUGCUGAAGUAUGUCUCAGAGUUUAAGAAAGUAUCUUACUCUUUUUUUUCUUUUAACGCAGAUGUGGAUCCAUUUUAAAUGGUCAGCUCUCUUAUAUACAGUAGGGUUUGUACUGAUAUUGAUGACGAUUCAGCAGUAAAAAGAGUCCUUAAAACACACGCUGCAGCUUUUGGCACCCAGGACAGUGAGGGAUCUUCAGCCAGCUGUAACUUGCACCCGUUUUCCACAGGGAGAAAGGAGUACAGCAUGCCUGCAGAGCUUGAGCUCUGGGUCUUGGAUGUUUAAUUCAGAUCAUCAGAGUGUAUGGGUGAGGCUGGUCUUGUGUCCUAUUAGAGGCCUUCCUGUGUAGACCAGAGAAAGAGUGGAUGUCCCCAUGUUAGGUAACUAUUACUGUCUUUUCCAGUGAAGCAAAUUAAACUAAGCUUCUAUAUUAUGGGAAAUAAUUGCACGAUUUUGUUCCUUAAAGUAGGCUGUUUCUUCCUUUUUGCUCUUAAAAAUGCAAUCCUCAUGUAUUGUAUCUG
rnacentral:lncRNA from 1 species